rnacentral:misc_RNA from 1 species
UCUCCGUUGGUGAACCAGCGGAGGGAUCAUUGCUGGAACGCGCUUCGGCGCACCCAGAAACCCUUUGUGAACUUAUACCUAUUGUUGCCUCGGCGCAGGCCGGCCUCUUCACUGAGGCCCCCUGGAGACAGGGAGCAGCCCGCCGGCGGCCAACCAAACUCUUGUUUCUACAGUGAAUCUCUGAGUAAAAAACAUAAAUGAAUCAAAACUUUCAACAACGGAUCUCUUGGUUCUGGCAUCGAUGAAGAACGCAGC